rnacentral:rRNA from 1 species
AUUGAACGCUGGCGGCAUGCUUUACACAUGCAAGUCGAACGGCAGCGCGGGCUUCGGCCUGGCGGCGAGUGGCGAACGGGUGAGUAAUUCAUCCGAACGUGCCCAGUCGUGGGGGAUAGCCCGGCUAAAGCCGGAGUAAUACCGCAUACGACCUGAGGGUGAAAGCGGGGGACCGAAAGGCCUCGCGCUAUUUGCUCCGCCGAUGUCGGAUUAGCUAGUUGGUGGGGUAAAGGCUUACCAAGGCGACGAUCCGUAGCUGGUCUGAGAGGACGACCAGCCACACUGGGACUGAGACACGGCCCAGACUCCUACGGGAGGCAGCAGUGGGGAAUUUUGGACAAUGGGGGCAACCCUGAUCCAGCCAUGCCGCGUGCGGGAAGAAGGCCUUCGGGUUGUAAACCGCUUUUGUUCGGGAAGAAAUCCUCUGGGCUAAUACCCCGGGGGGAUGACGGUACCGGAAGAAUAAGCACCGGCUAACUACGUG